rnacentral:rRNA from 1 species
UACGAAGGGUGCAAGCGUUAUUCGGAAUCACUGGGCGUAAAGGGUGCGUAGACGGUAUGUUAAGUUUGUUGUUAAAGGCUCCGGCCUAACUGGAGUAUUGCGAUGAAAACUGGCGUGCUAGAGGGUGUGAGAGAGAAGUGGAAUUCCCGGAGUAGCGGUAAAAUGCGUGGAUCUCGGGAGGAACACCAAUGGCGAAGGCAGCUUCUUGGCUCAUUCCUGACGUUGAGGCACGAAAGCGUGGGGAGCAAACAGG